GCAGUGGUGGCUUAGCAGUUAAGGCACUCGCCUACUGAUUGGAAGGUCGGGGGUUCAAGCCCCAGCACUGCA